rnacentral:rRNA from 1 species
GAUGAACGCUGGCGGCGUGCCUAAUACAUGCAAGUCGAGCGAACAGACGAGGAUCUUGCUCCUCUGACGUUAGCGGCGCACGGGUGAGUAACACGUGGAUAACCUCACUAUCAGGCUGGGAUAACUAAGAGACCCCGGAGCUAAUACCGGAUAAUAUAUUGCGCCGCAUGGUUCAAUAGUGAAAGACGGUUUUGCUGUUACUUAUAUAUGGAUCCGCGCCGCAUUAGCUAGGUGGUAAGGUAACGGUUUACCAAGGCAACGAUGCAUAGCCGACCUGAGAGAUGGUUAGGCCACACUGGAAGUGGAACACGGGCCAGACUCCGACGGGGGGCAGCAGUAGGGUAUCUUGCGCAAUGGGAGAAAGGCUGACGCAGCAACGCCGCGUGGGUGAUGAAGGUCUUCGGAUCGUAAAACUCUGUUAUUAGGGAAGAACAAAUGUGUAAGUAACUAAGCACGUCUUGACGGUACCUAAUCAGAAAGCAACGGCUAACUACGUG